UUUUAUUUUUCUUUUCUGUCUUUCUAGUCAUUACAUAGUUGUUAUUUUAUUUUAUUUUGGUUUAAAGUUAAGUAAAGCUAUUACAAGACUGGGACUGUACCUAGUUUAUCGAGGGGCAGUGAUUUUCCCUCCAGGAUGGCACAUCCACUAGCAAAACUGGAAUGUAACUUUUUUUUGGUGCGCAUACAAAGCUGUGCAUUUGCAGAAGGAACCUUCCCUUUGCAAUCUACAAGCAACACCUGCUUCCAUCUGAUUUCCUGGCAGCGAUGCCUUCACAACCUGGCAAAAACUCCAUUAAAAUUUUAGGCCCAUUUAUUUUGUAAUAAAAUGAAUGUAAAUAAGAUUUAA